GGCGCGUUCGUCUAGCGGUUAGGACGCCGGCCUCUCACGCCGGUAACACGGGUUCGAUCCCCGUACGCGCUA
rnacentral:tRNA from 1 species